UCAAAUAAUCUAACAACUUUCCUAGAAAGUCGAUUAAUUAAUCUUCAUUGAAGCUAUUAAGAGGAUUGCCCUUUGAGGUUGUAGCAAUAGUCAGUCGCACUAUGGUUAAUCAAUGCAUUAUUUGA
rnacentral:ncRNA from 1 species